rnacentral:rRNA from 1 species
AUCAGGUAGGAUUACCCGCUGAACUUAAGCAUAUCAAUAAGCGGAGGAAAAGAAACCAACAGGGAUUGUCUUAGUAACGGCGAGUGAAGCGACAAAAGCUCAAAUUUGAAAUCUGGCACCUUCGGUGUCCGAGUUGUAAUUUGAAGAAGGUAACUUUGGAGUUGGCUCUUGUCUAUGUUCCUUGGAACAGGACGUCACAGAGGGUGAGAAUCCCGUGCGAUGAGAUGUCCAACUCUAUGUAAAGUGCUUUCGAAGAGUCGAGUUGUUUGGGAAUGCAGCUCUAAGUGGGUGGUAAAUUCCAUCUAAAGCUAAAUAUUGGCGAGAGACCGAUAGCGAACAAGUACAGUGAUGGAAAGAUGAAAAGAACUUUGAAAAGAGAGUGAAAAAGUACGUGAAAUUGUUGAAAGGGAAGGGUUUGAGAUCAGACUUGGUAUUUUGUAUGUCUUGCUUUCGGGUGGGGCCUCUGCAGUUUACUGGGCCAGCAUCGGUUUGGACGGUAGGAUAAUGACAUUGGAAUGUGGCACUACUUCGGUGGUGUGUUAUAGACU